GAGUUUGAUCCUGGCUCAGGACGAACGCUGGCGGCGUGCUUAACACAUGCGAGUCGAGCGGUAAGGCCCUUUCGGGGGUACACGAGCGGCGAACGGGUGAGUAACACGUGGGUGACCUGCCCUUAGCUCUGGGAUAAGCCUGGGAAACUGGGUCUAAUACCGGAUAUGACCUCAUGACGCAUGUUGUGGGGUGGAAAGCCUUGUGCGGCUAGGGAUGGGCCCGCGGCCUAUCAGCUUGUUGGUGGGGUGAUGGCCUACCAAGGCGACGACGGGUAGCCGGCCUGAGAGGGCGACCGGCCACACUGGGACUGAGACACGGCCCAGACUCCUACGGGAGGCAGCAGUGGGGAAUCUUGCGCAAUGGGCGAAAGCCUGACGCAGCGACGCCGCGUGAGGGAUGACGGCCUUCGGGUUGUAAACCUCUUUCAGCCCUGACGAAGCGAAAGUGACGGUAGGGGCAGAAGAAGCACCGGCCAACUACGUGCCAGCAGCCGCGGUAAUACGUAGGGUGCAAGCGUYGUCCGGAAUUAUUGGGCGUAAAGAGCUCGUAGGUGGCCUGUCGCGUCGGCUGUGAAAACUCGGGGCUCAACUCCGAGCYUGCAGUCGAUACGGGCAGGCUAGAGUGCGGCAGGGGAGACUGGAAUUCCUGGUGUAGCGGUGAAAUGCGCAGAUAUCAGGAGGAACACCGGUGGCGAAGGCGGGUCUCCGGGCCGAUACUGACACUGAGGAGCGAAAGCGUGGGGAGCGAACAGGAUUAGAUACCCUGGUAGUCCACGCCGUAAACGUUGGGCGCUAGGUGUGGGAUCCUUCCACGGGUUCCGUGCCGCAGCUAACGCAUUAAGCGCCCCGCCUGGGGAGUACGGCCGCAAGGCUAAAACUCAAAGGAAUUGACGG
rnacentral:rRNA from 1 species